GCACUUUUCAAAUGGAAAUAAGAAAAAUGCACAGACAUAUCUGUAAAAAGAAAAUUCAUAUAAAACCCAUUUUUGAGUCUUUUGGCUUCUGUAGUUUUUCUGUACUAAACUGAGACAUGUGUCUAUGGGAUUGUGUUGUCUGUAUCUCACCUGAUGUGUUAACAACAGUGUAUUUUAAUAAUUUUACAGAUGCAUGA